rnacentral:rRNA from 1 species
UACGGAGGGAGCUAGCGUUGUUCGGAAUUACUGGGCGUAAAGCGCACGUAGGCGGCUUUGUAAGUUAGAGGUGAAAGCCCGGGGCUCAACUCCGGAAUUGCCUUUAAGACUGCAUCGCUAGAAUUGUGGAGAGGUAAGUGGAAUUCCGAGUGUAGAGGUGAAAUUCGUAGAUAUUCGGAAGAACACCAGUGGCGAAGGCGACUUACUGGACACAUAUUGACGCUGAGGUGCGAAAAGCGUGGGGAGCAAACAGG